rnacentral:rRNA from 1 species
AGCGCAGGCGGUUGCGCAAGUCCAAAGUGAAAGCCCGGAGCUUAACUUCGGAAGGGCUUUGGAUACUGCGGAACUCGAGUUCGUGAGAGGAAAGCGGAAUUCCAGGUGUAGCGGUGAAAUGCGUAGAUAUCUGGAGGAACACCGGUGGCGAAAGCGGCUUUCUGGCGCGAUACUGACGCUGAGGCUCGAAAGCGUGGGGAGCGAACAGGAUUAGAUACCCUGGUAGUCCACGCUGUAAACGUUGUGCACUAGGUGUGGGAGGUAUCGACCCCUUCCGUGCCGCAGCUAACGCAUUAAGUGCACCGCCUGGGGAGUACGGUCGCAAGACUGAA